CCUACGGGUGGCUGCAGUGAGGAAUAUUGGUCAAUGGACGCAAGUCUGAACCAGCCAUGCCGCGUGCAGGAAGACGGCUCUAUGAGUUGUAAACUGCUUUUGUACGAGGGUAAACGCAGAUACGCGUAUCUGUCUGAAAGUAUCUUACCAAUAAGGAUCGGCUAACUCCGUGCCAGCAGCCGCGGUAAUACGGAGUAUUCAAGCGUUAUCCGGUUUCAUGGGGGUUAAAGGGGGCGUAGGCGGUCGUUAAAGUCAGCGGUAAAAUCGCGCGGCUCAACCGCGCGCCGCAGUUGAAACUGGACGCCUUGAGUUCACGACAGGCAGGCGGAAUGCGUGGUGUAGCGGUGAAAUGCAUAGAUAUCACGAGGAACCCCGAUUGCGAAGGCAGCCUGCCGGGGUGCGACUGACGCUGAGGCUCGAAGGUGCGGGUAUCAAACAGGAGUAGAUACCCGGGUAGUC
rnacentral:rRNA from 1 species